rnacentral:rRNA from 1 species
AAUGAACGUUGGCGGCGUGGAUUAGGCAUGCAAGUCGUACGAGAAUCGUAGCAAUACGAGGAAAGUGGCGGAAGGGAGAGGAUUACGUGGGAAUCUACCCUCAGAACUGGGAUAGCGGCGGGAAACUGCCGGUAAUACCAGAUAAUGUCUGUGGACCAAAGGUGUGAUUCCGUCUGGGGAUGAGCCCACGUCCUAUUAGCUAGUUGGCAGGGUAAUGGCCUACCAAGGCAAUGAUGGGUAGCGGGUGUGAGAGCAUGACCCGCCUCACUGGGACUGAGGACUGCCCAGACACCUACGGGUGGCUGCAGUCGAGAAUCUUCGGCAAUGAGCGCAAGCUUGAACGAGCGACGCCGCGUGCGGGAUGAAGGCCUUCGGGUUGUAAACCGCUGUCGUAGGGGAGCAAGAGAUGAGGGUACUCCCUCUGAUUUGAGCGAUCCUAGGAGGAAGGACGGGCUAAGUUCGUGCCAGCCGCCGCAGUAACAC